CUCACCUAUAAAUACCCACUCACUCCGUCAUUUCCAACUUUGCCCUUCUGAAAAAGCUUUAGAAACCGCCGGUUAUUCGUCUUUCCAAAUUAAAAAUUCAAAGUCCUUCUAGCAAAUUUUAGGAGAAUUUGAGCUCUCAAAUCCCUUUCACACGUUGGUUAUUCUUCGCGCGGAAUUGGGAGUAAAACAUGUUAGUCCAGAAUCAUUGGAUCAAAAAUCACCACCGUAGCCGCGUUGCCCAUAGGCCAACAAUCGCGAAGAACCAUUUUUUUUUCUUGUUUGAUAUUUUCGUGCCACUGCGAGCCCUUCUUCUCCGGCGAAGAGCGACGUCGGAAUUUUACAAAGAUCACUGGCCUAGAUUCCGACAAACACAAAGACCCAUCUAUCCCAAUUUGUUACGGCCAUUGGACAACAAUCCAUUUCUCUUCGAAGAAGACCCACCUUAUUGUUUUCGAAAGAAGCAUCGUGCUAAAGUGACUAUUCUUCAUCCAUUUACCAAAAACUCAGAACAAAUCAAGACGCUGAUAUCUUAAUUGCAGUUGCAGAAGUACUCAAUUUGGUCCGUGAUAGUUGGUUAAAGCCAGACACAAUUGUUGUAAUAUUUAAAUGUGUAAUUUUUUUUUUUAUUUUGAAAGAAUGUCCAUCAAUCCUCUCAUUGUAAUUACUUUUAGCGUGCUAAACAUAAUAAAUGUUGUAUAUAAAUAUACAACAAUAAGAGAAUUGUUGCAUUGAAGCUCUUUUGUAAAUUUGAUGUAUUAUGGUAGAUGAACAGAAAUUAUGGGUAUGUGAGAUAGUAUUUUAUAUAUGACUUGUUGACAAUAAAGGUUUCUGAAAAUUUAACAGAGGUA